UACGUAGGUGACAAGCGUUGUCCGGAUUUACUGGGCGUAAAGAGCGCGCAGGCGGUCGUUCAAGUCGAGUGUGAAAGCCCCCGGCUCAACUGGGGAGGGUCAUUCGAUACUGAUCGACUCGAAGGCAGGAGAGGGAAGUGGAAUUCCCGGUGUAGUGGUGAAAUGCGUAGAUAUCGGGAGGAACACCAGUGGCGCAAGCGGCUGACUGGCCGAGACCUGACGCUGAGACGCGACGGCGUGGGGAGCAAACCGG
rnacentral:rRNA from 1 species